ensembl:lncRNA
CAACCAUGGCGACGCCUAACUAUCCUCCGCCGCGUCAUACGCAACCAUGGCGACGCCUAACUAUCCUCCGCCGUGUCAUACGCAACCAUGGCGACGCCUAACUAUCCUCCGCCGCGUCAUACGCAACCAUGGCGACGCCUAACUAUCCUCCGCCGCGUCAUACGCAACCAUGGCGACGCCUAACUAUCCUCCGCAGCGUCAUACGCAACCCUGCGGCAGCACGGAAGAGUCCGGCUGGAAUAUGUAUGGUAGAGGAGGGGUGUGUCUUCAGAUGGCCAGGGCUGUCAGUCAUUCAGAGCGCUGCAACAGAGGUCCUCUGAUGCUGGAUGUGUGUUUGUGUCUGAUGCUGGAGGUUUGCUUGUUGUUUGUGUUUGUUGUCUGUGUUUGUUGUCUGUGUUUGUUGUUUGUGUUUGUGUCUGUGAUGCUGGAUGUUUGUUUGUUGUCUGUGUUUGUGUCUGAUGCUGGAGCUUUGCUUGUUGUUUGUGUUUGUUGUUUGUGUUUGUUGUUUGUGUUUGUUGUCUGUGUUUAUUGUCUGUGCUUGUUGUCAGUGUUUGUUGUCUGUGUUUGUUGUCUGUUUGUUGGUAGUUGUUCUUGUGGAAUGAUGUCAUACUUGGCUUGAAUGAACCCUUUUUCUCCAUUCUCCAGUAUUUAAUUUAUUUAUUCUCUAAGUUGAGCGGACAUUGAGCACAAAGAGUUUCAUUACUGAUAAAUGCUGUUUAUGAGUAUAUGAUGAUAAACUUGAACUUGAACUUGAACUUGAAC